rnacentral:rRNA from 1 species
GCUGGCGGCGUGUUAACACAUGCAAGUCGAGCGGAAAGGCCCUUCGGGGUACUCGAGCGGCGAACGGGUGAGUAACACGUGGGCAAUCUGCCCCUCGCUCUGGGAUAACUCCGGGAAACCGGGGCUAAUACCGGAUAUGACCCUUUUAGGCAUCUUUGAGGGUGGAAAGUUUUUCGGCGAGGGAUGAGCCCGCGGCCUAUCAGCUUGUUGGUGGGGUAAUGGCCUACCAAGGCAGUGACGGGUAGCCGGCCUGAGAGGGCGACCGGCCACACUGGGACUGAGACACGGCCCAGACUCCUACGGGAGGCAGCAGUGGGGAAUAUUGCGCAAUGGGCGAAAGCCUGACGCAGCGACGCCGCGUGAGGGAUGACGGCCUUCGGGUUGUAAACCUCUUUCAGCAGGGACGAAGCGCAAGUGACGGUACCUGCAGAAGAAGCACCGGCCAACUACGUGCCAGCAGCCGCGGUAACAC